rnacentral:piRNA from 1 species
UNGUAACACUUAGGGCCAUUUUCAGCAGA